rnacentral:tRNA from 2 species
GGAGCAUUAGCUCAGUUGGUUAGAGCCCCCGGCUCAUAACCGGGUGGUCACAAGUUCAAGUCUUGUAUGCUCCACCA